GAUGAACGCUGGCGGCGUGCUUAACACAUGCAAGUCGAACGGAAAGGCCCUGCUUUUGUGGGGUGCUCGAGUGGCGAACGGGUGAGUAACACGCGAGUAACCUGCCCUUGACUUUGGGAUAACUUCAGGAAACUGGGGCGAAUACCGGAUAGGAGCUCCUGCAGCGUGGUGGGGGUUGGAAAGUGUCGGCGGUUGGGGAUGGUCUCGCGGCUUCUCAGCCUGUUGGUGGGGUAGUGGCUUACCAAGGCUUUGACGGGUAGCCUGCCUGAGAGGGUGACCGGCCACAUUGGGACUGAGAGACGGACCAGAAUCCUACGGGAGGCAGUAGGGGGGAGUAUGGCACAAUGGGGGGAAGCCUGAUGCAGCAGCGCCGCGUGCGGGAUGACGGCUUUCGGGUUGUAAACCGCUUUCGAAUGUGACGAAGCGUGAGUGACGGUAAUGGGUAAAGAAGCACCGGCUAACUACGUG
rnacentral:rRNA from 1 species